GAGCUGUGAUGAGAUCUGGAGAUAGUCAUGCACCACUCUUACAAAAUUUAUUUUUUGAGUGAUGAUAUAUUUCUCAUACCCAUUUUGUUUCUGAGCUC
rfam:Nicotiana sylvestris Nsyl_contig175811, whole genome shotgun sequence.